rnacentral:rRNA from 1 species
AACGAACGCUGGCGGCAGGCUUAACACAUGCAAGUCGAGCGCCCCGCAAGGGGAGCGGCAGACGGGUGAGUAACGCGUGGGAAUCUACCCAUCACUACGGAACAACUCCGGGAAACUGGAGCUAAUACCGUAUACGUCCUUCGGGAGAAAGAUUUAUCGGUGAUGGAUGAGCCCGCGUUGGAUUAGCUAGUUGGUGGGGUAAUGGCCUACCAAGGCGACGAUCCAUAGCUGGUCUGAGAGGAUGAUCAGCCACACUGGGACUGAGACACGGCCCAGACUCCUACGGGAGGCAGCAGUGGGGAAUAUUGGACAAUGGGCGCAAGCCUGAUCCAGCCAUGCCGCGUGAGUGAUGAAGGCCCUAGGGUUGUAAAGCUCUUUCAACGGUGAAGAUAAUGACGGUAACCGUAGAAGAAGCCCCGGCUAACUUCGUGC